rnacentral:lncRNA from 1 species
UAUGUAUAUAUAUAUAUACACGUGUGUUUAGGGUCGUGGAAGGGUCAUUAAACCUGUAUGCAGCCCUGUCCUUUAGAUACUGCUGGUGUUGUUUAAUGGUCUGGCAAGGGCCAAUAAAGCAGACCACCACUGUGUCUUCUUGACAUAACUAUCAAAAGAGAAAGAGCCUGAAAAGAUACCACAAGGCAUCUUACCCAAUUUUCCAACAUUUCUGCCAAUCCACUGCCCUGGACUGCUAUCCUAAUUCGUGAUCUUAAAACAAUCCUCAGCAGGAGUUGAUUUCAGAUUGUAGUUGGAACAAAUCCUCCAAGGCCUUCCAUCCGAUGCUCAACUGGUCAGAUCAAUUUACUGACUUAUAUAUAUUGCAAGUGUAAGAUAAACUGACAGGGCAUGCUUUUCAUUUUCUCAAUCACACUCUUCUCCCAUUUGUUAUGCAUCAUUACACCCUUUCGCUGUUCUUUAUUCUCCCAGACUGUCUUCUUCUCUCAUUGUUUAUCACUUGUUGUGUUUGCAUUAUUAUAACCUCGGAAAUAGACAAAUGUCUUCUGUAAUGGUCAAAAUAAAUUUUCAGGUGAUUAGUCUAGAGUAACACAUGGAUGUAAAUAGAAAAGUUACCUGUAUAUUUUUCUUAUCAACUGAUAUAGUAUGAAUUUUUACGUUUUUAUUUAAAAAAUAUGUGGAGUAUCCUGAAUGCUUUGGAAGGAGUUUUAGGAAAACUUAAUUAACUAACAAAACUGAAGAAAUAAUGUAAGAAGAGAGGAUAAAAUGGAGUUUUUAAUAUAUAAUUAUUCUGAUUUUUGUUGUUAAUUUAAUUAAUAUAGAUUGAUUGAUCCAGAGUAUAAUUAUUACCUGUAACAUCUGCUGAAUAAAAAAAGAAAUAGCACAGAUUUACUCUUAUUGUGCAAAAUAUCAAUAAAGUUUAUUUUGUAUCAGUUGGUGAUAUAAAAUAUAAAAAUUAUAUGACUUAGUAAAAUCAUAUGUAUAUUAAAUUUUACAUGUUAUAGUAUGUGUAUAUGUGUUUGUGUGUGCACAUAUAUAUAUAUAUAUAUAUAUAUGAAUGAUAUAUUCUAUAUAGGUGAUUAUAUGUAUUAUUCUAACCCUCUAACCCAUGCUAACAUGUAGACUAGGUAUUGAAUAAUGCUGAUGAUUAUAUGUGUGUGAACAGAACAGACACUUGAUAAAUUCUAUAAGUUAUUGGCUUUUGAACAGUAUUGACUUUUUUGGGGUCCCAAAUUGGUCUUCUUUAUUUUUCCUUUAAUUUUUUUUAUUUUAUGUAGGAUUGAGUCCAUUAUUAUAAAUAUUGUUACUGAUUUGCAAGACUCUUUUGUUUCAUUAUUUCAACUUUAUAUCAGUAUUUUUUUAAAUUUAAAAUAUUGCUGCCACAUAUGAUGUCGCAUGUGUAAGUCAGUGAACCUUCAUUUGACUUUCUGAAGUUUAAUAUAAUUUAUGAAAUGAACUUCCUACACUCUACAUAUGUCUUUGUUAGCUCACAUUUGUCAAAGAACAUUUUCUCAAAAACAUAUAGGUGACGUCCAUCUCACAGGACUAUUAAGGUAGAAAUCUGUUCUUGGUCUCAAGCAAUUUAGAUGAACUUACAUAAUGAGAGUUAUUUAGAAAGAACUUUCUGCUGUGACAGCAUUUACACCAUAUAAGUUGGUGGUUUCCAGGUUAAUUAUUCUUGUCAUGAAAUGUUUGGAAAUUUUUAGUAAAUAAUGAAAAAAUAAGUUCUAUAUUUUUAAUAAUGAAACACAAGAAAAUAUUUGGACCCAGAAAAGUCAGCAGUUCCAACCAAUGCAUUUAAUACUAAUGGGCAUAGGGCUAUGCACAAAAUUAGGAAAGUAAUAUAUAUGUGUGUGUGUAUACAUAUAUGUACAUAAGUGUGUGUGUAUGUAUAUAUAUUGAAAGUAUUAGUAUUGUUUCACUUUCUGAAAAUGUUCAGUUGCUGGUAUUUUGGCAUUUUUAAAAAUGAAAAUGUAAAGUGUUACAAAUUCAUAUAUAUUUAUAUUUAUAUACAUGAAGAUAAUUAGAAUUGAAAACACUGUGACUAAGUAAAAGUUUACUCACAUUUUUUUUACAUCUUUCCUCAAUUCAUUGCCUCUUUUCUUUAUUCUCCCACACUGUUUUUUUCUCUCAGUUUCUCCUUUUCCUCUUUUAACCUAGCCUCACUCACUCCUUGCAGUAGAGGAGGAGGAGGAGAAUGUAAAGAAAGGAAAGGAUGUGUAGCUAAUUUCUUUUUUAGUUUGUAGUAAAAAAGAAAGUGACAAAUAUGUAAGAUCCAACAUACCAACUUACAUGUAAACUCCCUUGAUCUUCAUCAGUGAUCUAGUAAUACAUUAAGAGGUUAUGGGACUCUUGUUUUAUGCAUAUACAUUUGUAUCCAUGUUUGUAAACAUUUGUUUUGCAAUUAGUCUUUUAACAGAUGUAUAUAUGAGUCUAUAUAUGUGGCAUGUGUAUUGGUCUGUAUUUGGAUUUAUGUAUUCCGUGUAAUCUGUUGACCUCACACAUUGUUAGAUUUUUCUUACUUUCUCUCUCCCCAAUUCUCUUAACCCCCCCCCCCCCCAAUCCAUCCUCUCAGACUCUUCUUUUUUCAUUGUCCCCUACUCAUUCGUCACCUUCACGGCUGUACAUUAUAGACAUUGUCUUUUCGUUUCCGGUGACACACACACACACAUUUAUCUAGAGAUUAUUGUUAGUCUCUCUCUCUCUGAAGACUGGCUCUUUGGAUUCUCUUGUUUUGUAGUCGAGUCUCAUAGAGUUAAGACAAAACUGUUUUUAUUAUAUUUAAAACCAGAAUAUGAAAAAGUCACCAUAAACAAGAGAUGUCAACCAUCUCAGCUGGCCCCUGGAUAUACACAAGCUUAACACUUUCGUUACCAUAUUUCUGUUGAGAUGUUCUGUGUUUCUUUGAAUUACUUUAAAUAUAACAAAGAAUUUAGUAAAAUAACUUCGUGAUCAUUCAGCUAGUGUUAGGAACAUAAAUUGUGACUAAGGUUUGGUGGAAGAUUUUAAUUCAAAACUUAUGAAAACAAGACAUUUGUACUCAGAGCCAGAGCCGUUUUCAGCCGGGUUAAAUGCAUCUUUCUAUAAUCAUAUAGAAAUAGACACACAUGCAUUACCAAUAGAUUUUAACGUUUGUCUAUCUCUGUCCUUCUUUCUCUCUUUAUGUGUGUCUGAGUGUGUGUAAAUAUAUAUAUAUAUAUAUAUAUAUAUAUUGUGUAUUGUUAUCUUUGUUGACAGACUUCUGAUCUGUUCCAGUGAGUUAGCUCCUUAUCAAAGGAUGAAAACAGAUCAUAGAUCUUCCACCAACAAAGAUAGUAAUAAAUUGCAUUGACUCAAUUAACUAGUAUUGAGUCCUUUUACUCAUUUUAUUGUCUCUAUUAUUCUAACAACCAAUCAUAUCUUAACACACACACACACACACACACACACACACACACAUUCAGAUUGUGUAUAUUGUUAUAAACUGUGAAUCUCCACACUCCUCAACCUACAAAUGUUAAUGUAGGUUUAGUUUGAAAGGCUUUUUUUUGAACUCUAGUACUGCUGGUUCAAUCCUUACUGGCAGCAGCUGCUGUUACUGAUUUCAUCUCUCUGGUGUCUGUUAGUGAGAUGAAGCUGAGUUGUUGUAGAAACUUUCCCCUGAGUUAGUCCAUCACCCUGGCUAAACAAAAGCACAAGCAAACAGUUGGUAUCCCAUCACGGGACUGGCUUGUAAUGAUAUAACUAUAUAAACUGUUGUUUUUAGUCCUGCCUCAUCACGGAUCUUCAUUGUAAAUGGAAUUAAUUUUUUUUUUUAAAGAUUUUUCUUAGCACUGCUGUGUUGUCUGAAGACUGAAUAUUUGGAUUCACUCAGUGUCAUUUAUCCUGGCAAUAACAUCUGUUAAUUCUUUCUCCAUUUCCUUCCUUUCUUGAUGAGGUCUUCUCUUAACGACAGGUAGACCUCAAGGGAGGCAGAGGUAAGAAUAUGUAAAAUAAUUUUUUUUUUUUAAAUUUAAUGUCGGAAUCUGUAAAAGUCUGAGGUGAAUAAAUAAAAGAGUGAGAAAAAAUAAUCAACAGAACAUCAUCGUUAAAGAGAAUGAAUUUUAACAAAAAUCAAACUGGAAAAAAAAACCAAAAAAAACCUUAAAUAAAUGACGAAUAAAAUAAAAUAAAAAAUAAUUAAGAACUAAAUCUAUAAACAUUGGAAGUGAAUGUAAAGAGGAACCGAAAACUGUUUGAUGUAAAACUUGUAUUGAUCCUCAACUGAUUGUUGCAAAUAAAUCUCUUGUUCCGCUCUUUGGUUUCAUUGUUACAGCUGGUCGUGUUUGCUGUCAAAC